CUCUUUUCCAGGGAAAUCCAGGUCUUCAGGGCAUGAAUGGGCCAAAGGGCACAGUUGGCAUGAUGGGUUCCCCAGGAGAAAAUGGGAAGAAGGGUGAUCAGGGACUACCUGGGCUUUCAGGUUCAUCAGGCCCUGUAGGUCUCAAGGGAAUUCAGGGACCCCGAGGUCUCGAUGGCCAGAAAGGAGACCGAGGAAUGACAGGAGAGAAAGGAGCUGGUGGCCAGCGGG